AUUGCUACAAAAGGUGCCAGCCGAAUGAAGCUCCUUGGGAGUCAGAGCAAGAAGUGGAGAGAGAGUGAGGUGCAUGCAUGGAGGCAAGGAAGAUGGCGAAGAGCUUAGCUGGCAGUCACAAGUGUCCUGGUAGACAGCUGGAUGGGAAGUGAAACAUGG
rnacentral:lncRNA from 1 species